rnacentral:lncRNA from 1 species
AACACGAAUCUGCACUCACAGUCCAUUCUAUGCAUCUUGGUAAAGUCCAACUAUGGGGUUGAAUGAAAAGUAAUGCCUCCACCUUCGUAAUUCCGCAACAGAUGGCAGUACUGGUAUGCAGAAGGUCCUGGCUUGUUCAGUAGACUCUCCUCUACAGUUCCAUUUGGUGGGGAGCCUUAGCAUUGAACGGUUGUGUUGUUAAAGUGCAAAGUAUGGAACCCUGCACAGACAGCCGGUCAGUGUGACUUAAGCAACGUGCAGUCAUUGAAUUCUUGACAGCAGAAAGUGUCACCCCAAAGGAGAUUAAUCAGAGAAUGUAAGCUGUUUAUGGUGAUUGUGUUGAUCUGAGUACUGUGCGUCAUUGGGCGAGUAAGUUUAAAUAUGUUGAGGUAGGAACAUCUGACUUGCAUGAGAAACAAAGAGCUGGGCAUCCUGUGACAGCAACCACCGAGUUUCACAAGCAAAUCAGAUGUUCCCACCUCAACAUCUUUAAACUAACUUGCCCAACGAUGCACAGUACUCACAUCAACACAAUCACCAUAAACAGCUUGCAUUCUCUGAUGAAUGUCCUUUGGGGUGACACCUUCUGCUGUCAAGAAUUCAGUGAGUGCACGUUGCUUGUCGCAUUGACCAACCAUCUGCACAGGGUUCUAUACUUCGCACUUUAACAACACAACCAUUCAAUGCUAAGGCUUCCCUCCAAAUGGAGCUGUAGAGGAGAGUCUACUGAACAAGCCGGAACCUGCCGCAGACCGGUACUGCCGUCUGUUGAGUAGUUACGAAGGUGGAGGCAUUACUUUUCAUUCAACCCUCGUACUAUCAGGAGAUGUGGGGAGUUUAUGUCUCAUAUGUUGAGCUUUGAAUACCACAUUUGGUUCUCCACAUUUGCAGGUUUGCCCAUGCCUGCUCUAUACUGUAGAAUUAAUGCAGUUUGACACUGCUUUAACUGCCCAAUGCUAUGGAAUCCUAAGAGUUGCAGUCUGACAAGGUCUUUAGCCUUCUCUGCCCAAAAUUGCUGGUGAUUUUCCAAACUGCAACUCCCA